rnacentral:rRNA from 1 species
UGCAGUUAAAAAGCUCGUAGUUGGAUUUCUGUUGAGAACAGCCGGUCCGCAUUUUGUGCGUGCAUCUGGUUUGAACUUGGCAUCCUUUCCAGGAACGUAUCUGCGAUUUGGUUCGUGGUGCGGUACUGGAAACUUUUACUUUGAGGAAAUUAGAGUGUUCACGGCAGGCAAUCGCCUUGAAUAUAUUAGCAUGGAAUAAUAAUAUAGGAUCUUGGGUCUAUUUUGUUGGUUUCUAGAGCUAAGAUAAUGAUUAAUAGGGACAAUUGGGGGCAUUCGUAUUAACACGUCAGAGGUGGAAUUCUAGAUUGUGUUACGACGAACUACUGCGAAAGCAUUUGCCAAGGAUGUUUUCAUUGGUCAAGAACGUAAGUGAGGGGAUCGAGGAUGAUUAGAUACCGUCGUAGUCUUCACCAUAAACUAUGCCGACUAGAGAUUGGAGGUCGUCCUUUUAUGACUCCUUCGGCACCUUAUGAGAAAUCAAAGUCUUUGGGUUCCGGGGGGAGUAUGGUCGCAAGGCUGAAACUUAAAGGAAUUGACGGAAGGGCACCACCAGGAGUGGAGCCUGCGGCUUAAUUUGACUCAACACGGGAAAACUUACCAGGUCCAGACAUAGUUAGGAUUGACAGAUUAAGAGCUCUUUCUUGAUUCUAU